UGUUUCGGCUAGGGGGUCAUCCCGACUUACCAACCCGAUGCAAACUACGAAUACCGAAGAAUGUUAUCACGGGAGACACACGGCGGGUGCUAACGUCCGUCGUGAAGAGGGAAACAACCCAGACCGCCAGCUAAGGUCCCAAAGUCAUGGUUAAGUGGGAAACGAUGUGGGAAGGCACAGACAGCCAGGAUGUUGGCUUAGAAGCAGCCAUCAUUUAAAGAAAGCGUAAUAGCUCACUGGUCGAGUCGGCCUGCGCGGAAGAUGUAACGGGGCUAAACC
rnacentral:rRNA from 1 species